GGUCAAGUGAAGAAGCGCAUACGGUGGAUGCCUUGGCAGUCAGAGGCGAUGAAAGACGUGGUAGCCUGCGAAAAGCUUCGGGGAGUCGGCAAACAGACUUUGAUCCGGAGAUGUCUGAAUGGGGGAACCCAGCCAUCAUAAGAUGGUUAUCUUGUACUGAAUACAUAGGUGCAAGAGGCGAACCAGGGGAACUGAAACAUCUAAGUACCCUGAGGAAAAGAAAUCAACCGAGAUUCCCUUAGUAGUGGCGAGCGAACGGGGACUAGCCCUUAAGUGGCUUUGAGAUUAGCGGAACGCUCUGGAAAGUGCGGCCAUAGUGGGUGAUAGCCCUGUACGCGAAAAUCUCUUAGUCAUGAAAUCGAGUAGGACGGAGCACGAGAAACUUUGUCUGAAUAUGGGGGGACCAUCCUCCAAGGCUAAAUACUACUGACUGACCGAUAGUGAACUAGUACCGUGAGGGAAAGGCGAAAAGAACCCCGGAGAGGGGAGUGAAAUAGAUCCUGAAACCGUAUGCGUACAAGCAGUGGGAGCAGACUUUGUUCUGUGACUGCGUACCUUUUGUAUAAUGGGUCAGCGACUUAUAUUCAGUGGCGAGCUUAACCGAAUAGGGGAGGCGUAGCGAAAGCGAGUCUUAAUAGGGCGUUUAGUCGCUGGGUAUAGACCCGAAACCGGGCGAUCUAUCCAUGGGCAGGUUGAAGGUUAGGUAACACUGACUGGAGGACCGAACCGACUACCGUUGAAAAGUUAGCGGAUGACCUGUGGAUCGGAGUGAAAGGCUAAUCAAGCUCGGAGAUAGCUGGUUCUCCUCGAAAGCUAUUUAGGUAGCGCCUCAUGUAUCACUGUAGGGGGUAGAGCACUGUUUCGGCUAGGGGGUCAUCCCGACUUACCAAACCGAUGCAAACUCCGAAUACCUACAAGUGCCGAGCAUGGGAGACACACGGCGGGUGCUAACGUCCGUCGUGAAAAGGGAAACAACCCAGACCGUCAGCUAAGGUCCCAAAGUUAUGGUUAAGUGGGAAACGAUGUGGGAAGGCUUAGACAGCUAGGAGGUUGGCUUAGAAGCAGCCACCCUUUAAAGAAAGCGUAAUAGCUCACUAGUCGAGUCGGCCUGCGCGGAAGAUGUAACGGGGCUCAAACCAUACACCGAAGCUACGGGUAUCACGUAAGUGAUGCGGUAGAGGAGCGUUCUGUAAGCCUGUGAAGGUGAGUUGAGAAGCUUGCUGGAGGUAUCAGAAGUGCGAAUGCUGACAUGAGUAACGACAAUGGGUGUGAAAAACACCCACGCCGAAAGACCAAGGUUUCCUGCGCAACGUUAAUCGACGCAGGGUUAGUCGGUCCCUAAGGCGAGGCUGAAAAGCGUAGUCGAUGGAAAACAGGUUAAUAUUCCUGUACUUCUAGUUAUUGCGAUGGAGGGACGGAGAAGGCUAGGCCAGCUUGGCGUUGGUUGUCCAAGUUUAAGGUGGUAGGCUGGAAUCUUAGGUAAAUCCGGGAUUCUAAGGCCGAGAGCUGAUGACGAGUUACCUUUCAGGUGACGAAGUGGUUGAUGCCAUGCUUCCAAGAAAAGCUUCUAAGCUUCAGAUAACUAGGAACCGUACCCCAAACCGACACAGGUGGUUGGGUAGAGAAUACCAAGGCGCUUGAGAGAACUCGGGUGAAGGAACUAGGCAAAAUGGCACCGUAACUUCGGGAGAAGGUGCGCCGGUGAGGGUGAAGGACUUGCUCCGUAAGCCCAUGCCGGUCGAAGAUACCAGGCCGCUGCGACUGUUUAUUAAAAACACAGCACUCUGCAAACACGAAAGUGGACGUAUAGGGUGUGACGCCUGCCCGGUGCCGGAAGGUUAAUUGAUGGGGUUAGCUAACGCGAAGCUCUUGAUCGAAGCCCCGGUAAACGGCGGCCGUAACUAUAACGGUCCUAAGGUAGCGAAAUUCCUUGUCGGGUAAGUUCCGACCUGCACGAAUGGCGUAACGAUGGCGGCGCUGUCUCCACCCGAGACUCAGUGAAAUUGAAAUCGCUGUGAAGAUGCAGUGUAUCCGCGGCUAGACGGAAAGACCCCGUGAACCUUUACUAUAGCUUUGCACUGGACUUUGAAUUUGCUUGUGUAGGAUAGGUGGGAGGCUUUGAAGCGUGGACGCCAGUUCGCGUGGAGCCAUCCUUGAAAUACCACCCUGGCAACUUUGAGGUUCUAACUCAGGUCCGUUAUCCGGAUCGAGGACAGUGUAUGGUGGGUAGUUUGACUGGGGCGGUCUCCUCCUAAAGAGUAACGGAGGAGUACGAAGGUGCGCUCAGACCGGUCGGAAAUCGGUCGUAGAGUAUAAAGGCAAAAGCGCGCUUGACUGCGAGACAGACACGUCGAGCAGGUACGAAAGUAGGUCUUAGUGAUCCGGUGGUUCUGUAUGGAAGGGCCAUCGCUCAACGGAUAAAAGGUACUCCGGGGAUAACAGGCUGAUACCGCCCAAGAGUUCAUAUCGACGGCGGUGUUUGGCACCUCGAUGUCGGCUCAUCACAUCCUGGGGCUGAAGCCGGUCCCAAGGGUAUGGCUGUUCGCCAUUUAAAGUGGUACGCGAGCUGGGUUUAGAACGUCGUGAGACAGUUCGGUCCCUAUCUGCCGUGGACGUUUGAGAUUUGAGAGGGGCUGCUCCUAGUACGAGAGGACCGGAGUGGACGAACCUCUGGUGUUCCGGUUGUCACGCCAGUGGCAUUGCCGGGUAGCUAUGUUCGGAAAAGAUAACCGCUGAAAGCAUCUAAGCGGGAAACUUGCCUCAAGAUGAGAUCUCACUGGAACCUUGAGUUCCCUGAAGGGCCGUCGAAGACUACGACGUUGAUAGGUUGGGUGUGUAAGCGCUGUGAGGCGUUGAGCUAACCAAUACUAAUUGCCCGUGAGGCUUGACCAU
rnacentral:rRNA from 1 species